AGACUUCCGGCUCUUACCCAGGAACAGAAAACACGCCUCACCAAACUAAUGAAGCCCCGUCCUCUUCCGAAAGAAAUGCUUUAUGGGAAAUAAUACGAUUUACGUCAUAAUUAACUGCUUUAAAAUUUGUCUUCCCCACUGACAAAAUACAACUUCAUAUUUGCAUGUUUUUUAAGAAAAAAAUCUUAACCUCUGUCAGAUGAGACAGAUGUUGUGAUUUUUACAAUUAUUUAUAUUUGUUCUCUUUGUAAACAAUUAUGGAACAAGUUAUUAUCAACUUCGGACUCGAUGUAAACAUUUUGUUAAUUUGAACAAGAAACAAUAAUUUUGAAGACAAAGUUUUUCCUUAUACAUGGUUUAUGAUUUAUUUGUUAUGAAGAGAAAGUGAAUUCGUAAAUAUGAAAAUUGAGAGAAAAUCUUGAUAGUUGGUUUGUUUUUGAAAAAUUUCAACUAUUUAUCACAUAAACCAUGAAAAAAGAAAUUGGAUCAACACGUCUAAGAAAUAUCUCAUAACACCUUUUUAAUGUUACCUUUUGCAAACAUUGUGUAUGUAUAAAUUGAAUAAAUAUAUUUUGUAGCU
rnacentral:misc_RNA from 1 species